GACGAACGCUGGCGGCGUGCUUAACACAUGCAAGUCGAACGGAAAGGCCCUGCUUUUGUGGGGUGCUCGAGUGGCGAACGGGUGAGUAACACGUGAGUAACCUGCCCUUGACUUUGGGAUAACUUCAGGAAACUGGGGCUAAUAACGGAUAGGAGCUCCUGCUGCAUGGUGGGGGUUGGAAAGUUUCGGCGGUUGGGGAUGGACUCGCGGCUUAUCAGCUUGUUGGGGGGGUAGUGGCUUACCAAGGGUUUGACGGGUAGCCGGCCUGGGAGGGUGACCGGCCACAUUGGGACUGAGAUACGGCCCAGACUCCUACGGGAGGCAGCAGUGGGGAAUAUUGCACAAUGGGCCGAAGCCUGAUGCAGCAACGCCGCGUGCGGGAUGACGGCCUUCGGGUUGUAAACCGCUUUCGCCUGUGACGAAGCGUGAGUGACGGUAAUGGGUAAAGAAGCACCGGCUAACUACGUG
rnacentral:rRNA from 1 species